rnacentral:lncRNA from 1 species
UUUAACAAAAGAUAAGAAAAUCCUACUCUGGUGAUGACGACAUCCAUCAGUAGAUGCUAUCUUAGCUCCUUAUCCCAUGCUAUCAUCAAAAUCUUCCUCAUCCUCUUCUUCUUCCUCUUCCUCAUCAUCUUCAUCAUCAUCAUCUACAUCAUCCUCCAUAACUGAAGCUUCAGCUGCUCGAGCCUCCCCACCAGCCUGCGUCUGUUCAUCUGGCCAUGCCAUGCGAGUGCUAAAAUCCUCCAUCAUCCACCUAUGUCAAGGAGGUGUAUCAUACAUCCUUAUAAAUCUCUGCAGUGGCCACCUACCCUUUAUACAGAGCCUGCAUCCUAGACUCCAUCAAUGACAUGUACAAAUCUCUAGUCUGAAAGGGCUC